rnacentral:misc_RNA from 1 species
AAGUCGUAACAAGGUUUCCGUAGGUGAACCUGCGGAAGGAUCAUUCAUGCUUUAAAGGCAGCAGCUGAGUGUGUAUGGUAAAACAUAUAUAUGAGGUUGUUGUUUUGUUUCUAUCAAAUGUCCCAAACCAAACGCGCUAUGUACAACCCUAAAAAACCGUACUCAGCCUGAAAAACUGGGGAAUACCUGAUCUACCGUCGACGUGCUUGGACGCGUUCUUUUUAGAUGUUAGUCGGAAAACAUUACCAUUCGGAUUCGGCGGUUUACAUAAUUUUUAGUUAAGUCCUUAAUAUGGUGGAUUCUGUAUUGGGCAUGUGUAGAAAUACGAAACAUAUACAACUCUUUGCAAUGGAUAUCUUGGUUCUC